rnacentral:rRNA from 1 species
UACGUAGGUGACAAGCGUUGUCCGGAUUUACUGGGCGUAAAGAGCGCGCAGGCGGUCGAUCAAGUCGAGUGUGAAAGCCCCCGGCUCAACUGGGGAGGGUCAUUCGAUACUGAUCGACUCGAAGGCAGGAGAGGGUAGUGGAAUUCCCGGUGUAGUGGUGAAAUGCGUAGAUAUCGGGAGGAACACCGGUGGCGAAGGCGCCACUCUGGGCCGAAACUGACGCUGAGGAGCGAAAGCGUGGGUAGCAAACAGG